CCGUGAUAUAUUGGCCAUAUACCACACCUCCACUGGCCUUAUUGCUUAAUUAUGUAAUUUAUACAACUGUAUAACAGAGGUCCUUAAAUUAAAGUAAAUUUAAGUGCUUGAGAAAGUCCCUGAAAGUCCUUGAAUUUGACUUGCCAUCUCUGUGCAUUCAAAUUUCCAGCUAAAAUGAAAUUGUGUUCGUUGUCUGUAGUUUAUGCCUGCAAAUACCAUAACCCCACUGGCACCUGUUGAAUUCAGAGCAUGUAACAAAUAAAAUGUUAUUUGAUUUGAUCAUGGGACACUGUUCACAUCAGCAAAUCCCUCGCCCACACGAUGGCAUACACACUGUCUGCCAUCUCCCCGGUACAGUUGAAACUGGGAUUCAUCCGUGAAGAGCACACUUCUCCAGCGUGCCAUUGAAGGUGAGCAUUUGCCCACUGAAGUGCAGUCAGGUCAAAGUCCUGAUGAGGAUGAUGAGCCCGCAGAUGAGCUUCCCUGAGACGGUUUCUGACAGUUUGUACAGAAAUGAUUCAGUUGUGCACAGUGGCUGUAACAUGUAAUUAUGGACCAAUUAGGGACCAAUAGUUCUUACAAAGAGUAAUCCACAACCAGAUAACUACCUGCCACUAACUCCAGAUACAGUGUGGCCUUUUGUGUGUCCUUAUAUAUGUCAUAUUGUGUUACAGGGAUUUGUGAAGAGACAGGCUAUUUUUGCAUGCAACACACUGCCUUACCUGCACCAACCAUUGCCAUGACGGGUGUCUUUGAGCUUUACACAAAAAGGAAUUUCCACUGUGACUGGCAAGUUUAAGUGCCAGCUGAAGUCUCCUAUUUUCCCAUCUACCCCUCAGUCAUGUCUUCCUGACAGCUGAACAUUGAUGACUGAUUUCCUCUGUCCUUUUUUUUUUUGCAGGGCAAAGACCGACAAAACAUUAAAAACCAAUACAAUCACA